CGCGGCCGACUAGGGUGAACUAGCAGGAGUCCAGGGCUGGGAGAGUGGAAUCCCUGGGAAGUGAAGCCACUUUACGGAAGUUGGGGGGCGCCCACUCUCCCCUCUCAGUGCUCUUCAGUGCAUCCCGGUCUAAUCUCAACCCCCAGAUCCAGGAGCCAGGAUUGCACAUUUCUUCGCCCCAAGGGGACCACGGGACCCAAGCCAGGGUUUAGGAGUAGGGGUAGAACCAUAAUAAAUAAUGACAUCGGGGCGGUUUGGUGGCACCCACAGCACCAGGCCUGGGAGUUGGGAGGACCUGAGUUCAAAUUCGACCUCAGCUCCUUCCUGGUUGUGUGAUCCUGGGCAAGUCCCUUAACCCCAUUGCCUAAUCCUUACAUUCUAAGACAGAAAGUAAGGGUUCUAGAAAAAAAAAACAACAAAUAAUGAAAUUGUUACUGCAAAGUUUACAAAGUGCUUUCUGUCAGUUAUUUAAUUUCCUUCAAGGUUCAGCUCCAAGAGCACCUAUUUCCAAAACCCAUCACCCCCCACGCCCCCAGGGGCUGCCAGUACCCUUCCUCUAAAAUCACCUGCUACCUAUUGAGAUAGCACCAGGGCCUCAGUUUCUUCCUCUGUGAAAUGAGGGAGUUGGUCCUAGUCACCCUGAUCAGGCUGAGUCCAUCCCACACAGAUAGUAGACUGUAUGCUUCUUGGGAACAGGAAUUUUUUCACUUUUGCUUAAGUUGAGUGAGGGGGAAAAAAAGAAUUCUGUGAUGUGAUCCAUUAUUCCAAUGGGUGCAGCAUAUUUUGAUGGUCUGGCAAAUAUUUAACACCCUGGGCUGGGAGUAUGAAUAUGGGCUGGGGAGUGAAUGCAGAACAUAUUUUAAAGCCUAAUCUGUAACACUUUGCUAAAUUCUGAGACAAUGUUUACACUGAAAAUUUAAUAGAUUCUUUAAAGCCAAUUUGAGCUGUCUUCAGCCCUGGUUGGAACCACUGGCCAUAUUUUACAUUAUUAUAACUUCAAGUAGUGGGAAUUUGAAUAGACUGAGCUAAUGUGCAACCAAAUUGCAGGCAUUUAGUAAGUAAGUACCUACCCGUACCAGAUAUCCCUUUAUCCAAAGAAUGCAAGAAAAGACAAAACAAAAACCCUUGAUGCCUGCCCUCUAAUCUAACCUAAUGGGGAAGAUAAACUGGCUAUAUAAAGAAUGGGUUAGGUUACUCAAUAGAGAGAGAAUCAGACCUGGAGGUGGGAGGUUCCAGGUUCAAAUAUAGCCUGAGAUACUUUCUAACUGUGUGACCCUGGGCAAGUCACUUAACCCCAACUGCUUAGCCCUUAUUGCUCUUCUGCCUUGGAAUCAAUUCUUAGUAUACUUCCCAAGACAAAAAGUUAAAAAAAAAAAUAAAGCAGAUGGAAGGUAGUCUUAGAGAAAAUGCAGUGGGGUUCUAGGGGACAGGCGACAGCUUCCUGUAGAAGGUGAGAUUCGGCACAUAGUAGGCACUUCAUAAAUCUGGCUUGAUUAAUCUUAUUUGAUGUUCCCAACAACUUUGUGGAAAUGUUUUUAUGCUAUUUUGCAGAUGAGACAAAUAAAGUUCAGAGAAGUUUUAAUGACUUGUUCAAAGUCACAUGUUUGACUAGUGCUGAGCUGGGAUUCAAAUGCAAGUUUCCCUGACUCCAGUCAUCAUUUAAUAAAUGACUGCUAUUGGCUAAGUGCUAGGGAUGUGAAUCAUAGGAUCAUAGAUUUAGAAUCUAAGGGCUACCAUUUCUGGUCCCUCCUCAUUUUACAAAUGGGUAAACUGAGGCCAGGGAUGAUAAAUCUAGUAUAGAUGAGAGGUGGAAUUUGGAAUCUGAUCUUCUGACUCCAAGGCUGUUACAAAUAUGUAUAGCCAAGUAAAAAAAAAAUUCCUCAUUAGUUGUUUCCAAAACAAAUAUAUAUGUAUGUAUAUAUAAAAGCUUCAAUCUUCACGGAGUCUAUCACUUCUCUAUCUGUAGGGUCUUCUUCAAAAACAAAGGAUAAAUAACAACAAUAUCUGUGGGAGAUAGCUUUCAAUAAGGAUGUAUUAAGUACCCAUGAUGCACCAGGCACUGUGCUAAGUUCUGGGAUCAGUAAGAAAGGCAAAAAUCAUAGUUGACCUCUUCAGAACAUGACUUUCUACACACUGUCAUACAAUGUUUUUACUAUUUGAAGCCUGAGACAUUCCAUUUCCAGACUCUGUGACUUUGUCAGGCAGGUCCCCCUGUCUGAGAUGUUACUCCUUUGCGCCUGCCUUUUAGGAUCCCUAUUUUCUUAAAAGUUCAGCCCAAGUGCCACUUUCCACAGGAAGCUUCUGUUGAUCCUCUGGUUCCAUGGUGGCAAACCUAUGGCACUUGUGCCAGAGGGGGCACUGAAAGCCCUCUCUGUAGGCACACACACCAUUGCCUUUGCCCAGCACAGAGUUCACCAAAGUCCAUUACUAGAAAGCCAGAGGGACAUGGGGCCAGGUUGCUCUCUGCCCAGCAGCCCAAUGGGAACACUUUUUCCCUCCCCUGUCUUGGGUAAGGUGACAGGCUCAUAAGCUAUGUGAGGGUUGCAGUUUGGGCUUUUGGUUUCUAAAAAGGUUCACCAUCACUGCCCUAGUUGUUAGAUUCAUACUCCCCAGAAAUUAUUUCACAUAUGUUUUAUGUUUAAUUUUCUAUGUAUAUAUUUCCUUACAAGAAAACACAAAGUCCUUGAGGGCAGAGAUCAUUUCAUUUCUGUCUGUGUCCUUGAUGACAUAAGUGCUUAAUGAGUUCUGGUUGAACUGGUAGGGUGGUUAGUUGGUUGUUGUCUUUAAAUUUGAAGAGGACCAAAAUGGCAUUCCUGGCUGAUGCCUUUGGACUUGAGCAUGAAUUGGCUUUAAGUGAUGCAGAGUUGUACAAAGUCACCAGCCUUGUUCUCUCUUCCAGAGUCAUGGAAAUCCAGUGGCAAGACAAAAGUCAUGAAGACUGGUGAUAGCAGUGGAUGAGCGUGGCUUCUUCUGGGUCUGUCCAAGCUCUAAGCUCCUGCCUCAGCAACUUUCAUGACUGUUGGAACAAAAUGUUCUCAUCUGUCCCUUCCUAUGGAGAGAGGGUGUCUUCACGUGCCUGGGGUAGACACCCCUCUAACUCACUGAUGGGUUGGGGGCUCAUCAGUUAUCCUCAAGCUGGUUUAGCCCCUCUACACUGAGGUGGUUUUACUAGGGUGUGACCCCUGUGUAUCCUACAGCUUCUUGGAGCCACAGGUGAAAGCUGGGUGGCAGGUGGACACCAGAGAAGGAUGAGCAGCCCUGAUAAGGGCUCAGUAAGGCCUCCCAUCCUGUACUCUGUAUCCCCUUAUUGAUUAGAGUGGAGCCUUGAAGGAACCUUGGGAGUCUGUGAGGCAGCAGUGAGGAUGUAGUGUGUUCCAGCCAGGAGAGACAACCUCAGAAAAGGCUAGGAGAAGGGAGAGGGGAAUAUUAUGUAGGGGGAACGUGUUCAUCAUUUUCCAUCAGUGCUGUAUUCCAGCCUUUUUCAGUUGUGCUCUAUAUGUGACAGUCCCUGUGGCAAAUAGAGAAGACUGUAUUUUGUCCUAGAGGGAGCUGUUGGAGUUUCUUGAGGGAGUUGGAACUCCUUUCUUAGGACAAACAAUUAGGUAGCUAUGCCAAGGAAGGAUUAGGGAAGGGGCAAGACUAAGGGUAGAGAAGCUAUGGAACUCUAGAUCUGUCAUUUUGUCAGACAAUAACACUUACUAUGUGCCAGGAACCAUAUGAAGUGCUGAGGAUGCAAAGAGAGGUAAAAGCCAGUCUUUGCCCUCAAGGAGCUCAUGGUUUCAUGCCUAUGUGGCUUUGGGUGAGUCCCUUAACUUCUUUGGGCCUCAGUUUCCUCAUCUGUAAAAUGAGGAAAUCAUAUUGUAAUAUGACCCCAGAGGUUCCUAAAGUCUAUGAUUCUAUUAACUAUGACUGUAAGUUGAGUCUUUUAGCUCCCACUGGAUUUGGAAAUAGACCUGGCUCAGCCAUUUACUUCCUGGGUGCUCUCAGGGAAGAUACCACCUCUCUCUGGACCUUACUUCCCUCUUAUAUAAAACGAGAUGAACUCGAAGACCCCCGUCAAGUCCUAAUUGCAAGGGCCACCUCCCUGGAUCCUGCCACAGAAAGAAAGGACAAACAGCCGCACCCUUCUUACAUCGUACUAGGGGCAACCUUACCACAUCAUUUCUAAGUCCUUGACCAUCAUCAUUAGCGCCAUCACCAACUCAGCUGUUUGGAGCAAGUUUUCCUGGAAGGGGCAGAGGAGUGUGUGCCUCCAUGUGUCCAAUUUCCCAAGAGAAUGCUCAUGUUUGCUGCCCUUUUCAGUGGGUGACAUUUCAUGCAGAGUGUUUACAAGUGAACAUUUUGUUUGUUUAUGACAGGAUAGAAAUGUCAGGACAGUCGAAUCAGGGAGCCAGAUUUGGGGCACGGACCCAGGAAGAGCCACCACAGACGAGAAAUUCUGUAAGUCUGCAGCUAUCCUUCUCUUCACAAAGACUUUUCAACAUUCUUCCUCAAAGUGAUUUCUAGAAUUAUACAGGAUUCUCCAGAUGUGGUCUUUCUCAGGACAGAAUAUGAUUCCAAAGGAGGGGAAGUCCCUAGUUUGUUUGCCAAAGCCGGUCGACUGGUUGCAGAGCUCCUGCCUACUUCCUUAUAGCAACCUGUCUGCCAGGCAAUCUACAUCUGCGAGACUGGAAAGAGUUUGUCUCGUCCCAUCUAAUUUUCCUUGUGGAUUGAGGGAGGCUCUCCAGCUGAACAAGCGUCAUGAGGUUCUGGGCAUCCUUUGUCAUCUUGGCUCUUCUCGCUCUCUGCUCAGACAGCGCUACUCCAAAUAAUGACAUCUGCAGGCUUCCUAAAGAUGAGGGGUUCUGCCGAGCUCUUGUCUCUAGGUGGUACUAUGAUUAUAUGGCCAGAUCAUGCCAACAUUUUUUCUAUGGAGGCUGUGGAGGUAACAGAAACAACUUUGAAACCAAAAAUGAAUGCAUGAAAAACUGCAGGAGAACUGGUUAAGGAGAAGAAAUUGUGGUCAUCCAAUUCUCCUACUUCCCUGGGAUAAUUCUGAGCAAUGGUUCCCCCAGCCUGCAGUUCUUACUGGGCACUGUUUCCUCCCUAUUUCUGAUCACUCUUUUGGGGUGCCCUCUGUUUAAAAGUUUCCUGGAAUAAAGUGAUUUAUUCCCUAA